UACAGAGGUGGCAAGCGUUGUUCGGAAUUACUGGGCGUAAAGGGCGCGUAGGCGGCCUCGCAAGUCCCGUGUGAAAUCCCUCGGCUCAACUGAGGAAUGGCACGGGAAACUGCGGGGCUUGAGUUCGGGAGAGGGAAGCGGAAUUUCCGGUGUAGCGGUGAAAUGCGUAGAGAUCGGAAGGAACACCAGUGGCGAAGGCGACUACCUGGACUGACACUGACGCUGAGGCGCGAAAGCGUGGGGAGCAAACAGG
rnacentral:rRNA from 1 species